UACGUAGGGUGCACGCGUUGUCCGGAAUUAUUGGGCGUAAAGAGCUCGUAGGCGGUUUGUCGCGUCGAAUGUGAAAACCCGGGGCUCAACCCCGGGCCUGCAUUCGAUACGGGCAGACUAGAGUUCGGUAGGGGAGUCUGGAAUUCCUGGUGUAGCGGUGAAAUGCGCAGAUAUCAGGAGGAACACCGGUGGCGAAGGCGGGACUCUGGGCCGAUACUGACGCUGAGGAGCGAAAGCGUGGGGAGCGAACAGG
rnacentral:rRNA from 1 species